rnacentral:tRNA from 1 species
GGGAAUGUAGCUCAGUGGUAGAGUACUUGCCUAGUAUGUGAAAGGCCCUGGGUUCAAACCCCAUCGCCCU